ensembl:miRNA mdo-mir-7373a-1 mdo-mir-7373a-1
AAGCCCUUUUUCUGGUAGUUGAGUGAUUUUACACAACUGCUGCUAAUUAAAGGCUUGC